rnacentral:tRNA from 1 species
GCCUGGGUGGCUCACUUGGUUAAGCGUCCGACUUCAGCUCAGGUCAUGAUCUCACGGUUUGUGGGUUCAAGCCCCACAUCGGGCU